GAUGAAGAACGUAGCGAAAUGCGAUAAGUAAUGUGAAUUGCAGAAUUCAGUGAAUCAUCGAAUCUUUGAACGCACAUUGCGCCCGCUAGUAUUCUGGCGGGCAUGCCUGUCCGAGCGUCAUUUCAACCCUCAAGCCCCCGGGCUUGGUGUUGGGGAUCGGCGAGCCUCCGCGCCCGCCGUCCCCUAAAUCUAGUGGCGGUCUCGCUGUAGCUUCCUCUGCGUAGUAGCACACCUUGCACUGGGAAACAGCGCGGCCACGCCGUUAAACCCCCAACUUCUGAACGUUUGACCUCGGAUCAGGUAGGAAUACCCGCUGAACUUAAGCAUAUCAAUAAGCGGAGGA
rnacentral:misc_RNA from 1 species